rnacentral:tRNA from 1 species
UUUCUAGAAGCUUGCAACAGCAAUGAAUUUUUACUUCAUAAAUAGAGACUUUAAUCUCCUAGAAAA